rnacentral:rRNA from 1 species
UACAGAGGGUGCAAGCGUUGUUCGGAAUUACUGGGCGUAAAGCGUGCGUAGUCGGUAUUGAGAGUCACGGGUGAAAUCCCAAGGCUUAACCUUGGAACUGCCUGUGAGACCUCAGUACUAGAGUGUGAGAGGGAUGAGUGGAAUACCCAGUGAUGAGCGGUGAAAUGCGUAGAGAGUGGGUGGAACACCGGUGGCGAAGGCGGCAUCUGGC